UACGUAGGGUGCGAGCGUUAUUCGGAAUUACUGGGCGUAAAGAGUGCGCAGGCGGCAGAGCAAGUCGAGUGUGAAAGCCCCGGGCUUAACUUGGGAAUUGCGCUCGAAACUACUUUGCUGGAGUGUGGCAGAGGAAGGUGGAAUUCCACGUGUAGCGGUGAAAUGCGUAGAGAUGUGGAGGAACACCAAUGGCGAAGGCAGCCUUCUGGGCCAACACUGACGCUCAUGCACGAAAGCGUGGGGAGCAAACAGG
rnacentral:rRNA from 1 species